rnacentral:tRNA from 1 species
GCCUUCGUGGUGUACUGGUCAGCACGCUCGACGCGUAACCGAGAGGUCCAUGGUUCGAUUCCCGGCGAAGGCG